UUCACUCCACCCUCCCAGGCACACAUGGUGUAGGGUACACACACUCUCACAUUCACAUUACAUAGGCCUACUCAUUCUCUCUGCACAUAGUUUUCUACAGGUUUUAUCUUCACCAUAGUAUUUACUCUACUACACACUGUUUGGAUAUUUCCCUAUUUAAUUACUAUGCUAUUAUUUUUGUGCAUUCACUCUAAUUAUAUCUAAACUGUUUCACUCAACUAUUUAUACAAAAAAUAGAGAGCCAUUGGCGAAUGGAAAAUUGGCAGAAGUCAGGGAAUGUUGACCGUCCUUAUCUAACAGUGCUGGAUAGUGUUUCUGCACUGUGCUUUUGACUUCAGGAUGAACAGUAGUAUUCUUAAUUCUCUCAAGCCUGUUUUGCAUGAUCACACAGCCAUGCUGGAUGAAGCACACAGCUGGAUAUCCUUGUGCAGCGGUUCAGAAAGAAGUCCCGGUCGGUUUGGGAGAGAUAGAAGACAGAUUGCUGAGUAAACUCAGAGGAUACACUUGUGCUUGCUCCGCGGGAAGACGCAAUCGAGGACAGAGGCAGACUCCUCCGUUCACCUAAUAACGAAUUGACACUCCUCGAUCACUCAACCACUUAUCGGUUUCCAGGUCAUGAAGGAGAAAGGAUAGAGGAGUCCUUUCAGCUUGUGCUAAACAAGUGAAAUAUAGUGUUGGUUUUGUUGGGGUGUGUGUAGCUGGCUGUCUCAGCCCCUGUUGAGUGGCUACACCAUGGCAGCAGCGCUCCAUAUCAACAUCCACCAGCUGCCUCUACUCUUGGCAUCCCAACCUACAGACACAGCGGCAUUCUGGCUGUAGGCUGGAUAAUCCUGCACACCUUCCUGUCAGUGCAGUUGGAGUAAUCCUGGCCACCUUCCUGUCAGUGCAGUUGGAGUAAUCCUGGCCACUUUCCUGUCAGUACAGUUGGAGUAAUCCUGGCCACCUUCCUGUCAGUACAGUUGGAGUAAUCCUGGCCACCUUCCUGUCAGUGCAGUUGGAGUAAUCCUGGCCACCUUCCUGUCAGUGCAGUUGGAGUAAUCCUGGCCACCUUCCUGUCAGUACAGUUGGAGUAAUCCUGGCCACCUUCCUGUCAGUGCAGUUGGAGUAAUCCUGGCCAAUUUCCUGUCAGUGCAGUUGGAGUAAUCCUGGCCACCUUCCUGUCAGUACAGUUGGAGUAAUCCUGGCCACCUUCCUGUCAGUACAGUUGGAGUAAUCCUGGCCACCUUCCUGUCAGUACAGUUGGAGUAAUCCUGGCCACCUUCCUGUCAGUACAGUUGGAGUAAUCCUGGCCACCUUCCUGUCAGUGCAGUUGGAGUUGUGUCAAGGUAGUAGGACACAUACCCACUGGGUCAGUCUUACUGUCUCUCUUCAUCUGUUUGUGCAAUGUAGAGAAAUAAUAGUGAAAGUGAAUUUAUUUGUGAUAUAAAACUUAAGUUAUUAGAAUGUUAUGUUCCCAAGCUACAUGGGAUGGAUACAAACAUAUGAUGACACUACCAGUAUGUCCCCUCUCUCUCUCCGUGGCUCCAGCCCCCCCCCCCCCCCAAACCCUCACCUCUCUAGAACAGGCCAAGGAGCUGUUUGGUCCGGCUCUGUCCCUCGCUGCGGUGGGCUUCAGCUUCACAUCCUCCAUGGGGAGAAUGUUCUCCCACAAACAUGGUUACACCUUGGACAGCAACCAGCUGGUGUGUUUGGCCACCCUAAUCUCCACCCUGCUGUUCAACCUGGAUCUGGGCCUGACUGCUGCCAUGGCCCUCUCUCUGAUAACUGGAGUGACUGUAUUCUCCUGCUCCAACCCUCUGUGCUUUGCAAACGCUGAGCUGUUCUUCAGCUCUCUGAGGUACUGGAGGACCUGAGCCCUAGGACCAUGCCUCAGGACUACCUGGCAUGAUGACUCC